rnacentral:rRNA from 1 species
AUUGAACGCAGGCGGCAUGCCUUACACAUGCAAGUCGAACGGCAGCACGGGAGCAAUCCUGGUGGCGAGUGGCGAACGAGUGAGUAAAGUAUCGGAACGUGCCCAGUCGUGGGGGAUAACGUAGCGAAAGUUACGCUAAUACCGCAUACGAUCUAUGGAUGAAAGCGGGGGAUCGCAAGACCUCGCGCGAUUGGAGCGGCCGAUAUCAGAUUAGGUAGUUGGUGGGGUAAAGGCUCACCAAGCCGACGAUCUGUAGCUGGUCUGAGAGGACGACCAGCCACACUGGGACUGAGACACGGCCCAGACUCCUACGGGAGGCAGCAGUGGGGAAUUUUGGACAAUGGGCGAAAGCCUGAUCCAGCCAUGCCGCGUGCAGGAUGAAGGCCUUCGGGUUGUAAACUGCUUUUGUACGGAACGAAAAGGUUUGGCCUAAUAAGCUGAGCUCAUGACGGUACCGUAAGAAUAAGCACCGGCUAACUACGUGCCAGCCGCCGCUGUAA